rnacentral:other from 1 species
UUCGGUCUGUAAGGAAAGAAUAAGUGUUUAAACUUUUCGCCUUUGAUAAUUGAGCAAGGAUAGUAAUAAAUCGUGGAAUAUCCACACGGGAGGCAACAAACAUGCAACAAGGUACAGUAAAAUGGUUUAAUGCAGAAAAAGGCUUCGGAUUCAUCGAAAUCGAAGGUGGAGACGACGUAUUCGUACAUUUCUCAGCUAUCCAAGGCGAAGGAUUUAAAACUUUAGAAGAAGGUCAAAAAGUGACUUUCGAAACUGAGCAAGGUCAACGUGGACUUCAAGCAGUUAACGUUAACAAAGCUUAAUUAGCUUUUAUGUACAAAAAAGGACUUCUAACGAAGUCCUUUUUUUG